GGGUGUGUGUGAGAGAGAGUGAGAACCUGCAGUGGGACCUGCUCAUGCCGCAGUUCCUCUCCUCCGUUCCUCCACCCCUUUGGGAUUUUGAGGCCACAUGCACAUGUACCCAGUGUGCUUUUCCAUCUGCCCGGGCAGGAGUAGAUCCACAGUCAGCCAUGUGGGAUCUGGGUAUUUUCCCUUGGCUGGGAGACCUUAUCCUUGGUGUCAGGAAGGAACGGAUGACCACGUCUGAGCCCCACACUGUACCCCUUGGCCAUGUUUUACUUUCCCGUGUGGCUCACCUAUGCGUUUGCCAGGAAGCCUGCUUCACUGGUCUGUCAGACCCGAAUCCAGCUCCUCUGCAGUCCCUUCCCUCUCUGCCCUCCUUCCCCAUCUCACACACGUGACCCUGUCUCAAUGCUGCUUCCACAGACUCAGGACGGCACAUUGUCAAGGGGCUGUGGCCUCUCCAGAGCAGUCGGAGACAGCAGAUUCUGCUGGACGGUAGUCACAGCGGGGACCGUGAUGACGACGAUGAGGAUGGUGUCAUCGCCAGACCAGAUGAGAAGUAGGGUAACAGCCGCAGCUACUUCAGUGGGUGGCCACAAAAUGAGAUGAGCUACGCAAAACCACGAGCACAGUGCCUCGUACUUUACUCAGCAGGAGCCAGCCUUGUGAAGGGCAGGGUAAGUACUCUCAGUUCUGUGGCUGCGGGGUUUCUGUUGUGACUACUCAGUUCUGCCAUUGAAGCAGCCGCGGCAGUAAACAGAUGUGUGCAGCACAAAAACUCGAUUUAGAGAACAGUUGGUGGUCUGGAUCUGCCCACAGGCAGUGGUGUGGAACCCUGCCGUAAAUGCUUGCCAAAUCUUUUACUAAUAUAAUAGUGUUAUGUAAUCUUUAUUAACUGGCAAAUAAUCAAUUUUUAAUCAAGAACUAAAUAUACACACCUGCCAUUUUUCAAACGAUUUUGCUUGUAAGAGCAAUGAAAAAAAAAAGUCUUUCUGUAAAUGGUGGCGCCACAUCCGCGAAUAUUACAGGAAACGUUCCCACUGUCACAAACGGUCACCACAUUGCUCUAGGCCCUUGCAAGAAAAAUCCAGGCCCCAGGUCACAGAGGCAUUGGGGGAAUGGGUUAGAAAUUUGCUGAAAUCCUCAAACCUCUGUCCUUUACCCUGUCUUCAAAGUGCCUUCUGGGCUCAUGGGCCAACUUAGCUCCCAAAACACAGUUCCUGGGAAGGGCUGCUCCAGGGAGUGUUCCGGGCCAGAUGUUUAUCUGCCGUGUUUGCUCAGUGACUGCCGACAUUGAAUGGCUGUUUUCGAUUCUAAGAACAUGUUUGUCUCUCCUACAAACGGAAUGUUUCCUUCUAUCAGAUGAUGAAGAUUACACAUUGUGUAGCUUUUUGCUGUGGUUAUCUGUAAGUUUAGGCUCGGUCAUGAUAUGGUUUUCACUUAGAAGAUAUAUUUUUCUUCCUCAAUUCUUAUUUUUCCAAGGUUUUAACGGUUAUCUUAAAUGUUAUUGCAUAUUUAGGUUUCAUUAAAAAGGCCUGCAACUGCUUUUUAGAUCUAGCUGAAAUACAAACCAAAAGUUACAAAUAAAAUUAAUCAGAUCUUAUUUGCAAUCAGCUUGUUUUCUACGUAAAAUUCCUUCAAAAGAAGCAUCUAUGUGAUUAGAACGGAAUUAAACUAUUAAUAAGUGCUUUAUCAAUAAUGGAGGUUUUUGUAGAUAUGUAUAUUAUGGAGCAAGGUUGUGAUCUUCAGUUCUAGAGUCCAAAACAGUUGGGUUUCAAUCCCAGCUCCAAGGCUAGCCGUGAGAUCCCGGUCCGGUCACCCGUGUGCUCUGAAUCCGUCCCAUCACUUGUAGAGUGGAUAUAAUGGCUACACUCCUGUCAUGCAGUCGUGUGGAAUUGAAUGAAAUCUAACACGAAGUGUGCAGGCAGCCCAAUGCCCAGUCCAUGCCAAGUGCUCCAUUUAUGAGCAUAUAUAUUAGCUACAUAGUACCACAUGCUUAUUUGAAUUUUUCUAGCAGUGCUUCUGUCAGAGCAGUGCUCAGCUUCCAGUAUGAGGCCCUAAAAGUUGGUCCAAGUGUCACCCUGUUUUCUAAAUCUGUCCUCUCUGUCAUUUCUCCCUCUGCUAUUACUGAGUGAUUCGCCAAGCAAGUGGAGCAUGCUGACGUCUGAGCAUUUUGUGACUGAACAGAGUCUGGGUAGAAAGGCCACCAAGAACAUUGCUCGGGAGUUUUAAAUAUUUGCCCCCAAUGUAAAUGGUCUGGUCAUUGAAACCAUGGGACUUGCUUUUCAUCCCGUAUGACUGUGUAAUUUUCUUCUUUUGGCCAGGGGGUGCACAUAUGUGGACAUGCAUGGCCGUGCAUAUGAGACAGAGACCAUGAGAGAGAAAGCACUCCCUCACAGGGUCUGGUCACGCCACAAGCCUGUUGCCCAGUUCUCUAUCCCAUUAAGACCCUGGGCAUCUACGUGUGCUUGGUUCGUAUUUCUAACCACCAGGUCCAGGAUACUAACUCUGGU